GGCCAAGCGGAGGCGGUAGAGCCUGAGCCCUGAGCCGAGAGCAGUUUCCUCCGUGAGGCGGUGACGUCGGCCAGGACAGCUGAGCCGCUCACACACAGCCGCUAACCCAGACAGGGAACAAGAAGCCCGAAACUGAGUCCAACUGCACCACAUGCCAAGGAGCCACACGUUUUCCAGCGCGCUGAAAGUGUAAACGUGUGCAUGGAGGGUGACACCGUGAGGAACACCGUCUGGGUGUUGUAGGAACAGAGGGAUCGGUCCUCAGAGGAAGACCCGAGGAGGAGGGGUGACUGAGGGCUUGGUGCUUCAUCACUGGAAU